rnacentral:rRNA from 1 species
AAAGUGGAGCAAUCCAUGAGUAGAGUGGCGAACGGGUGAGUAACACGUGGGUGACCUACCUUCGAAUGGGGGAUAACGUCCCGAAAGGGACGCUAAUACCGCAUAACAUCCUGCCUUUGAACAGGUGGAGAUCAAAGCCGGGGAUCGCAAGACCUGGCGUUUGAAGAGGGGCCCGCGUCUGAUUAGCUAGUUGGUGAGGUAACGGCUCACCAAGGCGACGAUCAGUAUCCGGCCUGAGAGGGCGGACGGACACACUGGGACUGAGACACGGCCCAGACUCCUACGGGAGGCAGCAGUGGGGAAUUGUUCGCAAUGGGCGCAAGCCUGACGACGCAACGCCGCGUGGAGGAUGAAGGUCUUCGGAUUGUAAACUCCUGUUGCUCGGGACGAAAAGCUUCGACCUAACACGUCGAGGUCUGACGGUACCGGGUGAGGAAGCCCCGGCUAACUCUGUGCCAGCAGCCGCGGUAAUACAGAGGGGGCAAGCGUUGUUCGGAAUUACUGGGCGUAAAGGGCGCGUAGGCGGCCUUCUAAGUCGAACGUGAAAUCCCCGGGCUCAACCCGGGAACUGCGUCCGAUACUGGAAGGCUUGAAUCCGGGAGAGGGAUGCGGAAUUCCAGGUGUAGCGGUGAAAUGCGUAGAUAUCUGGAGGAACACCGGUGGCGAAGGCGGCAUCCUGGACCGGUAUUGACGCUGAGGCGCGAAAGCCAGGGGAGCAAACGGGAUUAGAUACCCCGGUAGUCCUGGCCCUAAACGAUGAAUGCUUGGUGUGGCGGGUAUCGAUCCCUGCCGUGCCGAAGCUAACGCAUUAAGCAUUCCGCCUGGGGAGUACGGUCGCAAGGCUG